CUUUUUAAGGUCUUUCCUCUCCGCGAGGAAAGACCUUAUUGUUUUUCGCAUGUUUUUUUUUUUUUUUUUCAUCCAGCAUUUGUUUGACAUGGCCUCCCCUCGUUUCUAUUGGAGUUAUCAAACCCAAAUAUGGACCAUCGUUAGACCUCAUUAUGAAGUAUUACCAGAUGAGGCUGUGUAGGAUUUCAUCAUCCCCUUUAGAAGUUAUCUCCCUUUUAUUGAUUUUUUUCAACAUGGCCCCCUCGUUGUUUUUGAAGAUAUCAUGAUCUUAUUUGGACAAUAGGUAAAUCUCAUCAUGAUGUAUUACCAUAUGAGGCUGCAUAUAAUUUCAUCAUCCCCUUUGAGAGUUAUUUCCCCUUGAAACAAUUUCUUUCCUUUGCUCAUUUCUCAAAAAAUGUUAGAGAUAGAAUCGAUUUGAAAACGGCAACAUGUACAGGAACAGAUGGCAAUGUUAAUGAACAUAUACAAUCAUUUUGUUAUUUACCCUUAUAAGGAGUUAUUCCCCUUGAAAAAUUGUAUACAAUUUUAGAAAAAAUCUAUUUC
rnacentral:lncRNA from 1 species